rnacentral:rRNA from 1 species
CAAAAUGACUCUCGGCAACGGAUAUCCCGGCUCUCGCAUCGAUGAAGAACGUAGCGAAAUGCGAUACUUGGUGUGAAUUGCAGAAUCCCGUGAACCAUCGAGUCUUUGAACGCAAGUUGCGCCCGAAGCCUUUAGGCCCAGGGCACGUCUGCCUGGGUGUCACG